rnacentral:rRNA from 1 species
CGGAAUUAUUGGGCGGAAAGAGCUCUUAGGCGGUCUGUCGCGUCGGAUGGGAAAACCCAGGGCUCAACCCGGGGCCUGCAUUCGAUACGGGCAGACUAGAGUGCGGUAGGGGAGAUUGGAAUUCCUGGUGUAGCGGUGCAAUGCGCAGAUAUCAGGAGGAACACCGAUGGCGAAGGCAGAUCUCUGGGCCGUAACUGACGCUGAGGAGCGAAAGCGUGGGGAGCGAACAGG